AUAAACCAGUAUAAACCAGUAUGACCAGUCACUCACGGUGAUGAAGCCGUAGCCCCUGGACUGGCCGGUGUCGGGGUCGCGCAUCAGCACGAUGCUGUCGAUCUGGGGACACGGGGACACCCCAAGGUCACCGGGGGGUCCCCAAGGUCACCAGGGGGUCCCCAAGGUCACCAGGGGGUCCCCAAUGUCCCCAA